UUUCCGUAAAUAUGCCCAUGAUGAUGUCAGUACUGGAUCAUGGUUCAUUGGGCUUCAAGUAAAGCAUGUUGAUGAAUCAAAAUUUUGCUGCUCCUCAUGGUCCACAGGGUCAAUAUGUGCAGCUGUGUGAUUGGAUCUGCCUUGCUAGCAUUCUACCUGAAUCUAAUAUAUAACAAAGAAGGCCGCGUUCAACAUGUAUCAAGGAAGGUUUCCCUCUUCUCUUUUCAUGCACCCUCUUCCAGUCUUUCUGGUUCCCAAUGACAGACUUCUGGUGAGAGUUGAUCCUGAUAGCAUCAAAAUUGUGAAAUUGUUGAUAGAAGAGGUAUUGACAAUAACAUCUGCGUAUAAAAAGCUAGUUUAGAGUUGUUCAAACCACUGGACGUGAGCCAUAUAUAGAAUCCAUGAAGAUUUUGUAAACAGCAGGAUAUGUUUUUUCCGGAGAUGUCUUGUAAUAGCCAUGUAAUCCAAGUCCAUUUUUUAUUUUUUA